GAUGAACGCUAGCUACAGGCUUAACACAUGCAAGUCGAGGGGCAGCGGUAUCGAAAGCUUGCUUUCGGUAGCCGGCGACCGGCGCACGGGUGAGUAACGCGUAUCGAACCUGCCUCAUACUCGGGAAUAGCCUUGCGAAAGUAAGAUUAAUGCCCGGUGUUUUCAGAGUCCCGCAUGAGGCUUUGAAUAAAGAUUUAUCGGUAUGAGAUGGCGAUGCGUCCCAUUAGCUUGUUGGCGGGGUAACGGCCCACCAAGGCAUCGAUGGGUAGGGGUUCUGAGAGGAAGGUCCCCCGCAUUGGAACUGAGACACGGGCCAAACUCCUACGGGAGGCAGCAGUGAGGAAUAUUGGUCAAGGGGCGGAAGCCUGAACCAGCCAAGUAGCGUGCAGGAAGACGGCCCUCCGGGUUGUAAACUGCUUUUAGUUGGGAAUAAAACGGGGCUCGUGAGCCCCCUUGCAUGUACCAUCAGAAAAAGGACCGGCUAAUUCCGUGCCAGCCGCCGCCGUAA
rnacentral:rRNA from 1 species